CAGCAGCCGCGGGAAUACGGAGGGGGCUAGCGUUGUUCGGAAUUACUGGGCGUAAAGCGCACGUAGGCGGCUUGGUAAGUUAGAGGUGAAAGCCUGGAGCUCAACUCCAGAAUUGCCUUUAAGACUGCCGAGCUAGCAGGUGAGAGAGGUAAGUGGAAUUCCGAGUGUGGAGGUGAAAUUCGUAGAUAUUCGGAAGAACACCAGUGGCGAAGGCGGCUUACUGGCUCAUACUGGACGCUGAGGUGCGAAAGCGUGGGGAGCAAACAGGAUUAGAUACCCGUGUAGUCCCUGUCUCUUAUAA
rnacentral:rRNA from 1 species